AAAGUUAUUUUGGGUUAGAAUAUGUUAUAAUACAAUGAAUUUGAUUGAUUACAAGUGCUAGAGAUACAUGAAGGAUGUUUAGAAGUGAAAAGAAAGACUUGUUGAUAUUUGAUCCCAAAUGGGAUAAGUACCCAAAACCAUUGCUUUGAGGCAGUGAAUGGCUUGUAUAAAUCUAUUUUGGGUUAUAAUAUGUUAUAAUACAAUGAAUUUGAAUGAUUACAAGUGCUAGAGAUACAUGAAGGAUGUUUAGAAGUGAGAAGAAAGACAUGUUGAUAUUUGGUCCCAAAUGGGAUAAGAACCCAAAACCAUUGCUUUGAGGCAGUGAAUGGCUUGUAUAAAGUUAUUUUGGGUUAGAAUAUGUUAUAAUACAAUGAAUUUGAUUGGUUACAAGUGCUAGAGAUACAUGAAUA
rnacentral:lncRNA from 1 species